rnacentral:rRNA from 1 species
UUAAGCUGGGGACUCUAAAGGAACUGCCUACGCAAGUAGUGAGGAAGCGGGGAUGACGUCAAAUCAGCACGGCCCUUACGUCCAGGGCUACACACGUGCUACAAUGGCCGAUACAGAGGGCAGCUACCUGGUGACAGGAUGCAAAUCUCCAAAGUCGGUCUCAGUUCGGAUCGGAGUCUGCAACCCGACUCCGUGAAGUUGGAUUCGCUAGUAAUCGCGCAUCAGCCAUGGCGCGGUGAAUACGUUCCCGGGCCUU